UUAUUUUCUUUAUUCUUACUUCAGUUUUCUCUCAAUUACACCAGCUCAUCUGGUUCUUUCUCGAGUUAUUGCCCACGAUUGCCCCCUCUUCCACUUCCCCAUUGUUCCCAAGUUUGUUGUCCAUGAUUGACACCUCUUCUCGAUGUUUUCCCCGCUCUUCCAUCAUGUUGUUCUCUCCCACAAAAACCAAUCUAGGGUUCUAGCACCUACAACGGGGGUGAGUGGAAAUCCACGGGAGCGAGGCGAAGGCCAUGCCGAUUGAAAAGGGCAGGUACAGAAUUCUGUGCAACCAAUGCCGCACGGGCGCCGCCACUCCUCGCACCUCUUCUUGGAAUCCCCUCCCCUCCCCGUAUGUUCCACCCCGGGGCGACGCGACCGACCAAAAUCCAGCCCUUCCGCUUCCCCACCGCGCUUCGGAGCGGCGACUCGCUCCCUCAAAUACGCUUCUGCCAGCUCAGAGUGCAAGGUCUGUCUCUGUCUCUUGGGGAGCCAGGAUGAUGGGUGGGAGGAGCAGGAGUGGAACCUACAGGUGGUGAGGUGGACGCAGCGGUCAUGCCGGGUGAGAGGAGCGGCCGGGGUCGUCAGGCGGAUGGUGAUGGGGCCGGAGGAGCGCAGCACGACCACGGCUAUGCGGCGUGUUGUGUGCUACAGAUUGACGAAGGAUGUUGCAUUAGGGAAUGCAUGAAGGAUGUCUACAUCGAGCCGGAGAAGGGUGUGGAUGCGGUGGUGACGACCGCAAAGGAGGUGGAGCCAAGGUUUGGGUGGAGCAGAGCAGGUGGGGGCGGAGCUCUGCAGCUAUUGCACCUCCAGCCUAUUUCCUCCUCUCCCUGAUUGACACCCCUUCCCAAUGCAAGUUGGCGAGCCCGACUACUGGAACGGGCAGCCCCAAUAGUGCGGCUUGGUGAGUGUGGACAGGGGAAGGGGCAUGUGCAGGCUGGGCUUUGUUGUGUGCCAGGUGAGAUUGGGGAGGGCUCCGAGCCGAGGUAUUCACCGACUAGAGCGGGUGGCGGAAUGUUGAGGCCGAUCUGACCCCUCUCCUCUGCCCUCUUUGUCUUCCUCCUUCGUUUCUUCCACAAGCAGCAUGGAGAACCAAAACUUUUCAGAUUUUAUGCCCUAUGAUCUGACCAAUCUCCCCCCUCUUUAAGUAGCACUUAGGAGUAAAACGUUGCUGCUGGUGAGCACCAGAACAUGGAGAAAGCAGCAAGGCACUCUCCUUCCCCUAAAAAAAUAGAGAUGAAAUUUGACUAAAAGGACGCCAUGGAGAGGGUUGAGGUUGACAGACUUUGUUGUUGCUGGAAAUUCAACCAGAAGCUAUUAAUUCAGCAAUGAUAGUGAGUUUGGAAUCUUGCUGUUAUUUGUGGUCUGUCUUUAGAUAUAGGAAGGCAUUGAACACGGCUUCUGAUCAUUGGCUCCACUUCCUAGGUGUCUUCUAAUGAUAUAUAAUGACUCAUGCUAGAAAAUAAAACUGCAUCCAGUAAAUAUCACCACCAAUUUGUAUUGUGUAUGGCAAGACUCUUCCGUGAGAACAUUAUGAUGUCACCAAACAACAAGUUAGAAAACUGGUAUAAACACUGCAGUUUUUGUCUUUCAUGUCUAUGACUCUAUUAUUGGAAGUACUUUGCUUAUUCAAUAAUAUGGCAUAUCAACAUUUUUUAUUCAUUUGGAUUGUUAUUUGAUUAUUCAUGCAGCUACAUGGUGAACUAUGUAAAAAACUUUACACUAUAGUUCAUGAAGUUUUGAAUGCCAUCUCUGCCUUGAGAGUACAAGACCUGGAAGUAGUUCUGGACUUCUGGUGUUGAGCUCCUUGCGCAUAGCUGUUGAUAAAGCCAAGAAUCUACUUCAGUACUUCUCAGAGUUAGCAAGCUUUAGUUUGUAUAUAUAAUUUUUU